rnacentral:rRNA from 1 species
UACGUAGGGUGCGAGCGUUAAUCGGAAUUACUGGGCGUAAAGCGUGCGCAGGCGGUUUUUUAAGACAGGUGUGAAAUCCCCGGGCUCAACCGGGGAAUGGCAUUUGUGACUGUAAGACUAGAGUACGGUAGAGGGGGAUGGAAUUCCGCGUGUAGCAGUGAAAUGCGUAGAGAUGCGGAGGAACACCGAUGGCGAAGGCAAUCCCCUGGACCGGUACUGACGCUGAGGCGCGAAAGCGUGGGGAGCAAACGGG